AUGUGGUUGUCGACAUUAUUUUUAGCCAAAUGAGCUUGGCUGGAGAUGAUCAUGGGACAAUACACUGAUUGUGCUCAAGAGCUUUUGUACAGCAGAGGAUGAGCAUGGAGAAGAGCUGUCAGAAGAUGAAGAGGCUGAAGAGGAGGAUGGACCGAUCGAUGAAGAAGCCCAACUUAAGGCAAGCAUGAGACUGCCUGUGGAGUUCAUAAGUUCCUCUGCACAGAAAAGAGCUGGGACAAAGUUGAUGAGGAAGAAUGCCAUCCACUGGGAAGCAGCUCCUGAGAAUCUGGAUGAAGAAGAGCUACAUUCACUCCAGGUGGAGAAGAAUGAUCCCACUGUUGAAAGCACUAAGGCUGCGUUUGAUUUGAUCUCAGUGAGGGGCCAGGAGGAAAGCAGAACCUCCACCCUCCCAGGCAAAAGCAGUGCACUAUAUAGGGAAUAGGGUGCCAUUUGGGACACAUCCUGUGAGAACAAAGACAGGAGACAAAAACCAA